UACGAAGGGGGCUAGCGUUGCUCGGAAUUACUGGGCGUAAAGGGCGCGUAGGCGGAUCGUUUAGUCAGAGGUGAAAGCCCAGGGCUCAACCUUGGAACUGCCUUUGAUACUGGCUAUCUUGAGUUCGGGAGAGGUGAGUGGAAUGCCGAGUGUAGAGGUGAAAUUCGUAGAUAUUCGGCGGAACACCAGUGGCGAAGGCGACUCACUGGCCCGAUACUGACGCUGAGGCGCGAAAGCGUGGGGAGCAAACAGG
rnacentral:rRNA from 1 species